rnacentral:rRNA from 1 species
UACGGGGGGAGCAAGCGUUGUUCGGAUUUACUGGGCGUAAAGGGCGCGUAGGCGGCGCAACAAGUCACUUGUGAAAUCUCCGGGCUUAACCCGGAGCGGCCAAGUGAUACUGUCGUGCUAGAGUGCGGAAGGGGCUACUGGAAUUCUCGGUGUAGCGGUGAAAUGCGUAGAUAUCAGGAGGAACACCAAUUGCGAAGGCAGCUCGCUGGGACGUUACUGACGCUGAGACGCGAAAGCGUGGGGAGCAAACAGG